UUGUUUCAAUGUGACUUUGCAAUAGCAUGGGGAGUUGGUUGAGAAAGAAAACUUUCUACCAGAGGGUCCCAUAACAAUUGGUGUAACAUCUGGUGCCUCUACUCCAGAUAAGGUUGUUGAGGAUGCCCUUAUCAAAGUGUUCGACAUCAAACGUGAAGAGGCCUUGCAACUUAUGUAAUUAGGUUAGCUUCAGAUGUAUACAUUUGCCAAAGUAUCAGUGUAAGCAUACAACUAAACAGGAGUAUAAUUGAAGAAUCUAUGUUAUGCA